rnacentral:lncRNA from 1 species
CUGAACUGGGCCACAAUACAGCCUUACACAAUAACCAUAAUAAACUGACAUCCACAGAGAAUUGUGAAUAGACAAACGCAGCUGAAUGGAGGUCAAUAGCAGACAAGUAAAGGGAGUAUGUAGCAAUUUUGUAGUAAAUGUCAACUAAAUUAAGAGAUGCAUGAAAAUUUUAAGCUCAGUAACUCAGGAAGAAAAACCACAGUAACUCUGUGUUUCUCAGUUUCUCUCAAUUACAUGACUUACCAGCUAUUCAAACUGGCAUUGAAUGGAAGCAAGACCCAAACUUGCUUUGAUUUUCACUGAUCAUGGUAAGAAGUAAGAUAGCCUACAGCAUUUUCAAAAAUCUAUGAUGUAUACAGUUAGAAGGGAAAAAUCUCAUGAACCUCUUUCACAGAGUGAGCUUUCUUGAAGGGUUUUGAUGAUGACAGUCGAUACCUUCUUUCCUGUAAGAAGGCAAAAGUAUCAAUAACGAAAAUAAAUAUAAGUCGACUAUUCUGACUUUCAUCAUGAAAUUUAAAAAAAAGAAAAAUAUUCGAUUAGUUGAGAUCUUAAUUCUAGAGUAAA